GCCGGAUUUCACACAAGUGUUGCAUGGCUGUCGUCAGCUCGUGUCGUGAGAUGUUGGGUUAAGUCCCGCAACGAGCGCAACCCUCAUCCUUAGUUGCCAUCAGGUAAUGCUGAGUACUUUAAGGAAACUGCCAGUGAUAAGCUGGAGGAAGGUGGGGAUGAUGUCAAGUCAUCAUGGCCUUUAUGGAGUGGGCUACACACGUGCUACAAUGGUGUCUACAAUGGGCUGCAAGGUGCGCAAGCCUAAGCUAAUCCCUAAAAGACAUCUCAGUUCGGAUUGUACUCUGCAACUCGAGUACAUGAAGUUGGAAUCGCUAGUAAUCGUGGAUCAGCAUGCCACGGUGAAUACGUUCUCGGGUCUUGUACACACUGCC
rnacentral:rRNA from 1 species